ACACCACCACCCAAAACACAUUUCCCUGCCCCUCUCUCUCACACGAGCUCCCCUCGCUCUGGAUAGGAUAGCUUGAGUUCCCACUGCCGCUCUCCCAGACGCCACCGCCGCCCUCCCCGAUCGCCAUCGCCGCCCUCCCCGAUCACCGUGACAUGACCAUAGGAUAGGCUAUCCCGCCACCUCGGUCCCGCCCCACCGCGAGCGAGGAGACCAACGGGUUCGUGCCUCCCUGCCGGUCGCCGCCCACCGCCCCAAGGAUCGAGGCCGGUCGCACCCGUCCCUAUCGGUCGCUGCUCCGCUAGGUCGUCCGUUCCCCUCGACCCCAAGCUCUGCCCCCGUCCACCAGAGGUCGGGUUCUUAUUCAAAUCCAAGCAAUGGUUGCUGCCCUCUGAGCAGGUGAACAUAGAGGCGCACCUAAGCCUGAGUCUGACAAGAAGAUCAUCAACGCUCAACAUAUUUGAGUCGGUCAUUCUCUAUGUGUCCAAUGGUCAGCCAACCAGCUGCAGGCAAUGCGCCGAUUUCAGCUGCUGUGAGAUACUAAUAUUCUUACAUUGCAGUUUCAGAAUUGUUUUACUUGUUAUCAUACAAUAUACAAAUUUCUUUUGAGGAAAA